rnacentral:rRNA from 1 species
UACGAAGGGGGCUAGCGUUGCUCGGAAUCACUGGGCGUAAAGGGUGCGUAGGCGGGUCUUUAAGUCAGGGGUGAAAUCCUGGAGCUCAACUCCCAGAACUGCCUUUGAUACUGAAGAUCUUGAGUUCGGGAGAGGUGGAGUGGAACUGCGAGUGUAGAGGUGAAAUUCGUAGAUAUUCGCAAGAACACCAGUGGCGAAGGCGGAGCUCACUGGC